rnacentral:rRNA from 1 species
GCUUAUACUCGACCGUCAGCGGCACGUGCGAUCGCGCCCGCGAGGGCCGGUCACGAAGCCCUGACGAGUAGGAGGGUCGCGGCGGUGAGCGCAGAAGGGCUGGCCGCGAGGCCGUCUGGAGCCGCCGUCGGUGCAGAUCUUGGUGGUAGUAGCAAAUACUCCAGCGAGGCCCUGGAGGACUGACGUGGAGAAGGGUUUCGUGUGAACAGCCGUUGCACACGAGUCAGUCGAUCCUAAGCCCUAGGCGAAAGCCGAUGUCGAUGCGGUGUAGUUUUACUAACUAAUAUAUAUAUAUAUGUAUUAUAGUAUGUGGCACACACCCGUCGGGCGAAAGGGAAUCCGGUUCCUAUUCCGGAACCUGGCAGCGGAACCGUCAAUAANUCGGGC